rnacentral:rRNA from 1 species
AUUGAACGCUGGCGGAAUGCUUUACACAUGCAAGUCGAACGGCAGCACGGCCUUCGGUCUGGUGGCGAGUGACGGACGCGUGAGUAAUGUAUCGGAACGUGCCCAGUCGUGGGGUAUAACGUUGCGAAAGCUACGCUAAUACCUCAUACGAUCUACGAAUGAAAGCGCGGGAUCCCAAGACCCCCACAGAUUGCCGCGGCCGAUAUCAGACUAGGUUGGUGGUGAGGUAAAAGCUCACCAAGCCUGCGAUCUGUAGCUGGUCUGAGAGGACGAGCAGCCACACUGGAACUGAGACACGGUCCAGACUUCUACGGGAGGCAGCAGUGGGGAAUUUUGGACAAUGGACGCAAGUCUGAUCCAGCAAUGGCGCGUGCAGGACGAAGGCCUUCGGGUUGUAAACUGCUGUUGUACGGAACGAAACGGUGAGCUCUAAUACAGUUUGCUAAUGACGGUACCGUAAGAAUAAGCACCGGCUAACUACGUGCCAGCCGCCGCCGUAA